AUGGCUCAGAUUGAACGCUGGCGGCGUGCUUAACACAUGCAAGUCGUGCGAGAAAGGUCCUUCGGGGACUGAGUAGAGCGGCGCACGGGUGAGUAACGCGUGGGUGACCUACCCAGGAGACCGGGAUAACAGUGGGAAACUGCUGCUAAUACCGGGUACGCUUCAUAUUUCACGUAUGGGGGAAAGGCGGCCUCUGCUUGCAAGCUGCCACUCUUGGAUGGGCCCGCGUCUCAUUAGCUUGUUGGUAGGGUAACGGCCUACCAAGGCGACGAUGAGUAGCUGGUCUGAGAGGAUGAUCAGCCACACUGGGACUGGAACACGGCCCAGACUCCUACGGGAGGCAGCAGUGGGGAAUAUUGCGCAAUGGGCGAAAGCCUGACGCAGCGACGCCGCGUGAGGGAAGAAGGCCUUCGGGUCGUAAACCUCUGUCAGGAGGGAAGAAACCAUGGGAGUCGAAUAGGCUCUCGUGCUGACGGUACCUCCGGAGGAAGCACCGGCUAACUCCGUGCCAGCAGCGGC
rnacentral:rRNA from 1 species